rnacentral:rRNA from 1 species
AUUGAACGCUGGCGGCAGGCCUAACACAUGCAAGUCGAGCGGAUGAAGGAAGCUUGCUUCCCGAUUCAGCGGCGGACGGGUGAGUAAUGCCUAGGAAUCUGCCUAUUAGUGGGGGAUAACUCGGGGAAACUCGGGCUAAUACCGCAUACGUCCUACGGGAGAAAGUGGGGGAUCUUCGGACCUCACGCUAAUAGAUGAGCCUAGGUCGGAUUAGCUAGUUGGGGAGGUAACGGCUCACCAAGGCGACGAUCCGUAGCUGGUCUGAGAGGAUGAUCAGCCACACUGGAACUGAGACACGGUCCAGACUCCUACGGGAGGCAGCAGUGGGGAAUAUUGGACAAUGGGCGAAAGCCUGAUCCAGCCAUGCCGCGUGUGUGAAGAAGGUCUUCGGAUUGUAAAGCACUUUAAGUUGGGAGGAAGGUCUGUAAGCUAAUAUCUUGCAGUCUUGACGUUACCAACAGAAUAAGCACCGGCUAACUCUGUGCCAGCCGCCGCGGUAA